CAGAGAGUGGUUUAAGUUAAGAUCUUAGCUUUGGGAGCUAAGGAUGAAAGUUAGAGUCUUUCCUUUCUGA
rnacentral:tRNA from 1 species